GCACUCUCACACCUAACCUUUGGGUUUUGGCGUGGAAUUGGAAUGCGCCAACUCUUCACAGGUUGGCCCUUCUAAAAUGUAGUUCUUGGCUGUCACCUAACACAGCAGUUUGGCCUAAUAGUUUUGGCAUUCAUUGUCAAAUCUUUGGCUAACAUUUGCUCCAGGAGUCAGUCUCGAUAAUACAGAAAACUCAUUCAAAUU
rnacentral:misc_RNA from 1 species